AUAUGUCGGAUCUGGUAUUGACAAAUAAACCAUAUCAGUUAGUAUGUUUUAUUCGUGCCAGUAGAUGCCCAGGAACACGAUCUGUUAACAUUACGUUGCUGGCAUGGAUUCGAUUUGAUCAAAUAAAACGGAAGUUCGUCACAAAAUAUUAGCCCGAACCCUACACCGGCGAGAGAAAUGCUUAUCUCUAUAAAUUAAUACAGCAAAAAGAAGCUGCACCAGAAGAUUGUCCGGAGUACCCAAUCCAAAUAGCUGGUAAUGCAGAUAUGGAAGAUGACAACCCGGGCUUUGAGUCCUCAGUCGACAGUAUGGUGGAAAUGACUGACAAAAAGAGAAAAAAAUCUUCGAGUUGUACAGGUCACUCCAGCACUCAAAUUUCUAUCACAGAAAGACCACACCAAAACCACGAUCGGGAUCUCACCACAUAGCUCCUUACAAAUCCUGCAAAGGACGGAAAAACCAAGAUUUAGGAUACAUAACGGUCUUAAAGGAAAUCAAAUCAUUGCGUAUGGAUGUUCAAAGGUUAGCUGAGGGCCUAAAGGAAAUUAAAAAAAUUAUGGAAAUUGAUAGGAGUGCAAUAUACGUUGGCAAGAAGUUCUUCGAGGAGGAAUACAAUUUAAAGCUACCUCUCAACAGUCUACAAGACUUCAAACUUCUCGAUAGAGAACUUCAAAACAAUGAGGAAU